AUGGGUUUCCGCAAGGGUACCUGUGAGGCCCAGACCCAGCGCGUUCAUUGCAGGGUGCCCUGGAAGAAGCAAUUUGGAGCAGACUGCAAAUACAAGUUUGAGAACUAAGGGGGGGGGGGGUUGUGAUGGGAGCACUGACACCAAAGCCUGCCAAAGGACCUCGAAGAAGGCUCCGUACAAUGCCCAGUGUCAGGAGACCAUCUGCGUGACCAAACCCCGCACCUCCAAAACCAAGCCAAAGACCAAAGCCAAGAAAGGAAAAGGUAAGGACAAAGUCAGGAGGCCAGAGAGCCUGUGGCCUUGCCUGGAACCUGAACUGAGUCCUCCUCUUCCACAGGCCCAAGAUAUAACCCACCAGUGCCUUUUGUCUUCCUGUCAGCUUUGCCAAUCAUGCCUGCCCUCUCAUGCCCACACCAAGUGCCCAAAGUGGGGAGGGACAAGGGAUUCUGGGAAGUGAGCCUCCCCAUAUCUUCUUUUGUUCUACCCACCCUGAUACCUGUUAUUAAGAAAUGAAUAAAAUAAAUGCACUUUUUU